ensembl:lncRNA
GGGCAGACCACUCAGCUUCCCGAUACGGACUCCAAUGGCACUCUACAGUGAGCUCCAGGCUUUCAACUUUUGACUGGCUCCUCGGCUCUCCAGUGUGCAGAUGGUCUUUCUGCAUUCUUCCACAUUUGACUGUGCAGGCAGCCAUUAUAAGCCUACCUUAUAAAUAUGUUUUAUAUUAAGUCUAUUCCUCUGGUGAACCCUGAUAUGUUCACCAGUGCCAAGGAUUGACCCACAAAGACAAGCAGGAGGGUGGCAGAGAGGGAGCACAAACUCAAAAUUAGGGUGCACAGGCUGGUGCUGGGAGGGCGAUUCCUUCGAGGGAGGGGCUCCUCGCUGAUGUCCCCACCCUUGCUGAUCACUCUCUCAUCUGCUGCCUGUCACCAUCCGGAAUGGUCUCUGAUCUCUUCCCCACUUCAGUGAUACUGUGUCUGUUUCUGUCCCUUCUGCCAUCAGUAGACGACCAUAUGCAAUAUGGAUGCACAGUUUAAAGCAUAGUGAGACGGACUGUCUCUACCUUGAUGAGACUAGAACUCUACCACUCCUUUGUGGACCCCAGCAGCCCAACUCCCACCUUCUCUACGAAGCCAGCCCUGGCCUGACAUGGAGUUCAAUAAUAUCAGCGGAGGUGUCUUCAGUGUAUUGUGCAGUUUUGAAAACAGCGGGCAUCAAUCACCCACUUAGCAAUGUGAGGAAGACAAAGAAGUCUUCCAGAGAAGGUUGAGAUCUGGGUCAGAGUGGACCUCACCUGCCCUGAGAGUUUAUGGGAGCCCUUUCUGGAGACGUUCAUGCCUUGGGGGAGCUAUGUCACUAACAAACACCAGAUGCAUUUGUGUUUUUCCACACCGUCACAAUUUGUUGAAGAACUAUAAAUUCACGAGCUAUGUCAGUUUUGUCAGCCUUACCUGGCUGAGUACUCAAGACGCCCUUGGUAGUCAGUGAGCCAGGCAAUCACAGGUUCUUUUAUUCCACCCUUAAUGACUAAUGUCACACUCCGGGCACACAUCAGCCUUCACACAGUCAUGCAUAGGUUACAGAAUGGCUAGAAAAGGGUUUACAGUGGCUGCAGGAAUUGAAGAGGCAGAACUAAAAGCAAAGACAGAGAGCCCACGGAAAUUAGUCAUCACAAGUGGCCAGAUAAGAUGACAGGCCAGUGCAUCUCACAUCUUUUUAUUCCCCAUCCCUUCCCUUCACUCUGUCUCUGGAUCCCUUUCCUGUGCAAAAGACUCAUCUUCCUUUUUCCUGUUAUCAGUUUUAAAAAAUUGUUUAUACUUUGGGUUUCUCAUACAAGAGAAACCAUGUAAUUAAUGUUAUGGUCUCAAGGUACCUCCAUUUUCCUACAAAUGACUGAAAUUUAUCCUCCUUUAUGGCAGAGUAGUGCUCCAUAUCCUACAUUUUAAGUACAUGCCUAUCCCCUAAGAUGCAGGUAAACAUUAUGUAUUGCAAACACGUACUAAUAAAAAAAAUGGAAAAAAUGCAAACUAAAAAAAAAAAUUUUUUUUUUUUUCUUUAUGGAGAUCUGAAUGGAAUGGAGCCAGUCCUACAAAAAGAGCAACAGGUGAUCAAUCCAGGCAGAGGGACAAGCUAAUGGAAGAGGAGCCUGUGAAACACAAAGGCCUGGGUGGUACCAGUAUGCUUGCGGAGUCUUCAGACAACACAGAGGAAUACAAAGAUCCUAAAAGGGAGAAAGGACCUUUCUGUGCCACUUUCUCUGGAGUGCUCGUCCACCAAAAGAACAAAUGUCCAAAAUCCGAGGCUGCCCCUCAACUCUGCAGGUGGGGAGGGAGGGAGGGACAAUUGGAUACCAAUGCAGAAGGCUCCAGGUUUCCAGGAAGUACAAGUUUCAGAGUUCCUGCAGGUACAGAGAAAGUGAGCAGUAGCCUGCAG